rnacentral:lncRNA from 1 species
AACUAGUCCAUCUCCCUACCCAACCCCAAACCGAGUAGACCCGACCCAACCCAAUACCCAAACUCAUUUUCCCACCUAAAACAAAACCUAGACCUAAUACACAAAUACACAUACACACAACAUAGAAGAAGAGGGACGCCUGGGAGGAGGGUUGUUGCGCAGCUUUGGCUGCUUCUCAACAAAAAUACACGCAUAUACACACACGAUACAAUACACAGGCUGAUACACACGCCUGAGAUGCAGAACAGAGAAGCUACGCAGCUUUGGCGCAAUACAACCCCCUCUUCCCUUAAACUUGAUCUUCUCCAAAGAACAAACGCUCCCCUCCAUCUUCAGCAUCCAACGACAUCUACCCUCUUCACCAUCAAACCCGCCGUCGACCACCUUGACCACCAGUCCGCCAUCGGACAGCCACCAUAACGUUCAACCUUUUCUGCCAUCUCAUAACCAAUCGUCACCCUCGUCAAAAAACGACCACAUCAGUUCUGCUUCUUCUUCAACUAAAAUGACCACAUGAUUUCGCUUUUCAGUUUUGUUAUAGAUUUAAUUUGGUUUGAGAAGACAAAAACAUGGCAUAACUUAGGAUAUAGAGAGGGGGAGCGAACAGAUCUGGAUUCAAAAACUAUAAGGUUUGAUUGAUUCGAGUUUUGUCGUAGUUGUCGCCGCUUUUCUUCGAGUUUCGAUCGAGGUUCCGUCGCCGGCGAGAUUAAGCCAUUGAUUUUGGACGGCUGAUUUUGGACGUCGUCGCCGCUUUUGACUCUCAUUUUUAACUCUCUGUUUCUUCAACAAUCAUAAAAUAUUAAACGUGAUUAUUAACAUUUUUGUGCUUAAAUUCGCGUUCUACUGAAGAUCGUUUUUUACAUUACUACUAUUUAUUAUUAUAUAGAAUUCCUGGUAGUUUUAUUCUUUGUAUGUUUGUUAGUAUGUAUUGUAUUGUUUGUUUUUGGUUUUCUGGUUGAAUGCAGGUUAAUGGUAUACUAGUUUCAUUUUCAUUUA